AGGGGAACAUUUUCUGAAUAUUGAAUAGAACUGCUUCUCGUUGCCUUCGUUCUCCUCUCUCUGCUGCCUUCGUCUUCCUCUCAUUCUUCCCUAGAUCUCUCCUCUUCUCCAUUCCCUAGCUGUAGCUAACACUUGCUGGCCAUGGUCGCGACGGUCGCCCUCUCCGUCGCGCGUCGCAUCUACGCUGGCCACCCCGUGGGGUAGAAGGAACAGGCCAGCCACAACCCUGACGCCUUUCUCCAACCUUGCACCCUCUUCUGGCGCCAGCAGAAGGAGGAGCGGAGCCACGUUCCCCGCGUUGCCGCUCCUGUCUUGGAUGCCGUCACCGGCCACACGUCCGCCGGUUCGGACUGUGCAGAGCCCCCAGAGCUUUGGUGCCAGUCUAGAGAAGCCCCUAUCGCGCCAGCGAGUGCGGACGCUGUCGGGAGGCUCGAUAAGUUUGUCAGCCGCCAGCGGCGAUCCAACAACGAAUUCUCAAGUGGAUAUCACCCUAAACUUUUUGAUUCAGAGGAAUCCCAUGUGUUGGUUGCUGAGUAUAUCAAGUGUUUUCUGAAUGGAAGCCCAGAUGAAGUUAUCUGUGGUUUAUUUUACAACAAGCAUAAUGAUUCACUCAUUACUGUUUCAGUACAUGGUUCUGCAAACUUUAGUGCUUCUUCCGGUUGCUAUUUACUUGUUAGAUGCAGAGUAUAUAGAUGUCCACUGGAAAACUUAAAUAUGUUAUGCUUGUUAUCCAUAUUCACAGUCCUUUCCUAUCUACCGCAUUUGUAUGUAAUAAAAUGGAAUUAUCAUUGUUCAUAUUUAACCUUAUAGAUUAUGGCCCUUUAUCAUGUA